GAACCAAGGGCAUCGGCGUUGGAUCAGGCCAGCAUCGAUUGUUUGGAGGAGGUGGUUCUUUCUGGGAAGCAGAGACUGGUAUUUUGGUCCCGGCCACCACAGCUCUGUUGGAUGAUCGUCUCCGGUGAUUGAAGGGUGCAGAGAGGAUGCGAUGUGCUUAUUUUCGAUACUGGAUUGGGAAGUGCAGAGAAUCAAGCAAGGGUCAAGGAGUUGCUUCAUGUGGAGGAAUCAAAACUAGAGGAGGAUGAGGGAAAUACCACUCCAGCAGUGAGAUGGGUUCGAGAUGAUAAAUAUGAUUGCAUCCAAUUA